AUGGGCCUUACAUUCAAUGGAUCAAAGAAAAAUAAAUAUCAUCGUUGGCCUUUUGCCAUAGACAAGCCUUUGUACUCUCAAGAGUCAUAUCAAUCUGAUGUUGUACCAAAGGGAGAUUAUGAGCUAGUGAAAGCUCAGAAUCGACGAUUGCUUGAGGAACGUGAGACUAUGAUGGUAAAACGUCUUAUGGCUACCCAAGAGAAGACUUAA